ACUUUAAUUGAAGAGUUUGAUCAUGGCUCAGAUUGAACGCUGGCGGCAGGCCUAACACAUGCAAGUCGAGCGGCAGCGACUUAACUGAACCUUCGGGGAACGUUAAGGGCGGCGA
rnacentral:rRNA from 1 species